rnacentral:rRNA from 1 species
AUUGAACGCUGGCGGCAUGCCUUACACAUGCAAGUCGGACGGUAACAGGUCUUCGGAUGCUGACGAGUGGCGAACGGGUGAGUAAUACAUCGGAACGUGCCCGAUCGUGGGGGAUAACGGAGCGAAAGCUUUGCUAAUACCGCAUACGAUCUACGGAUGAAAGCAGGGGACCGCAAGGCCUUGCGCGGACGGAGCGGCCGAGGGCAGAUUAGGUAGUUGGUGGGAUAAAAGCUUACCAAGCCGACGAUCUGUAGCUGGUCUGAGAGGACGACCAGCCUCACUGGGACUGAGACACGGCCCAGACUCCUACGGGAGGCAGCAGUGGGGAAUUUUGGACAAUGGGCGAAAGCCUGAUCCAGCCAUGCCGCGUGCAGGAUGAAGGCCUUCGGGUUGUAAACUGCUUUUGUACGGAACGAAAAGCCUCUUUCUAAUAAAGAGAGGUCAUGACGGUACCGUAAGAAUAAGCACCGGCUAACUACGUGCCAGCCGCCGCGGUAAUAC